AUGAAUAGCAACAUUGGGAAUAACACCAGGAAUUCCAGGGAUUACUCAGGGAAUUAUCCUGGGUCAGUGUGGCUGAGAGAGCGCGGGGACAGGUUCAGGAAUGCUGGUUCAGGAAUGCUGGGAAUUCCAGCUGGGAUCGGGAAUUCCAGGUGGGAUUGGGGAGUUCCAAACGGGAAUUCCGCUGGGAUCGGGAAUUUUUCCCGGGAAUUCCAGCUGGGAUCAGGAAUUUUUCCUGGGAAUUCCGCUGGGAUCGGGAAUUUUUCCUGGGAAUUCCGCUGGGAUCGGGAAUUUUUCCCGGGAAUUCCGCUGGGAUCGGGAAUUCCAGGUGGGAUUGGGGAGUUCCAAAGAGGAAUUCCAGCUGGGAUCGGGAAUUCGGGCCAGGAAUUCCGCUGGGAUCAGGAAUUUUUUCCAGGAAUUCCGGUGGGAUCGGGAAUUUUUGCCGGGAAUUCCACUGGGAUCAGGAAUUUUUCCCGGGAAUUCCAGGUGGGAUUGGGAGUUCCAAACAGGAAUUCCAGCUGGGAUCGGGAAUUUUUGCCGGAAUUCCGGUGGGAUCGGGAAUUUUUUCCGGGAAUUCCACUGGGAUCGGGAAUUUUUGCCAGGAAUUCCGCUGGGAUCAGGAAUUUUUCCCGGGAAUUCCGCUGGGAUCAGGAAUUUUGGCGGGAAUUCCACUGGGAUCAGGAAUUUUUCCCGGGAAUUCCGCUGGGAUCGGGAAUUUUUCCCGGGAAUUCCAGCUGGGAUCGGGAAUUUUCCCCGGGAAUUCCAGCUGGGAUCGGGAAUUUUGGCGGGAAUUCCGGUGGGAGCAGGAAUUUUUCCCGGGAAUUCCGCUGGGAUCAGGAAUUUUUCCCAGGAAUUCCACUGGGAUCGGGAAUUUUGGCGGGAAUUCCGCUGGGAUCAGGAAUUUUUGCCGGGAAUUCCGCUGGGAUCGGGAAUUCCAGGUGGGAUUGGGAAUUUUUCCCGGGAAUUCCAGCUGGGAUCAGGAAUUUUUCCCGGGAAUUCCGCUGGGAUCGGGAAUUUUCCCGGGAAUUCCGCUGGGAUCGGGAAGUUUUCCCGGAAUCCCGCUGGAUUUUCCCCUUUCCCCGUUGCAGGUGA
rnacentral:lncRNA from 1 species